rnacentral:rRNA from 1 species
AACGAACGCUGGCGGCAUGCCUAACACAUGCAAGUCGAACGAGACCUUCGGGUCUAGUGGCGCACGGGUGCGUAACGCGUGGGAAUCUACCCUUGGGUUCGGAAUAACAGUGAGAAAUUACUGCUAAUACCGGAUGAUGACGUAAGUCCAAAGAUUUAUCGCCCAAGGAUGAGCCCGCGUAGGAUUAGCUAGUUGGUAGGGUAAAGGCCUACCAAGGCGACGAUCCUUAGCUGGUCUGAGAGGAUGAUCAGCCACACCGGGACUGAGACACGGCCCAGACUCCUACGGGAGGCAGCAGUGGGGAAUAUUGGACAAUGGGCGAAAGCCUGAUCCAGCAAUGCCGCGUGAGUGAUGAAGGCCUUAGGGUUGUAAAGCUCUUUUACCAGGGAUGAUAAUGACAGUACCUGGAGAAUAAGCUCCGGCUAACUCCGUGCCAGCAGCCGCCGUAA